UACGUAGGUGGCAAGCGUUGUCCGGAUUUAUUGGGUUUAAAGGGUGCGUAGGCGGUCCUAUAAGUCAGUGCUGAAAUAUCCCGGCUUAACCGGGAGGGUGGCAUUGAUACUGCAGGACUUGAGUAAAGUUGAGGUAGGCGGAAUUGACGGUGUAGCGGUGAAAUGCUUAGAUAUCGUCAAGAACACCGAUAGUGUAGACAGCUUACUAGCUUAACUGACGCUGAGGCACGAAAGUGUGGGGAUCAAACAGG
rnacentral:rRNA from 1 species